UAACUUAGUGGCGGACGGGUGAGUAACGCGUGGGUAACCUGCCUUACACAGGGGGAUAACACUUAGAAAUAGGUGCUAAUACCGCAUAAGCGCACAGUCCCGCAUGGGACAGAGUGAAAAACAUUAGUGGUGUAAGAUGGACCCGCGUCUGAUUAGCUUGUUGGCGGGGUAACGGCCCACCAAGGCGACGAUCAGUAGCCGGCCUGAGAGGGUGGACGGCCACAUCGGGACUGAGACACGGCCCAAACUCCUACGGGAGGCAGCAG
rnacentral:rRNA from 1 species